AAGUGUUGCCACUCCCAUUUAUUGCACAUUUUCCCCGAAAUCAUAAUGCACGAUCCGUAAAUAUGCAGGCAAACGCGGUUGCCUACUAUAUUAGUUGAGCCAAUAGCGCGGCAAGAUACUGACAUGGGAUUAUUACUAUCCAAUCAGAUGUAGUUUAUUUAGAACAGCUGUUACACGAAUGAUUUAGCUAUCAGACACGAGCACCAGCAGCGCAUUGAUCGUCAAGGACAUUCUUUGUGUGAUUUGCACAAGUUCCAGUAUGGCCUCUGGAGCUGGCGGAAGAGUCAUCCAGUCUACUCCGUAGAAAUCUCCUACCAUCUUCCAGCCAUGAUUUACAGGAGGAGGAAUGUCUGGCAUGCACUCAAGACACCUCCUGUGUACUGCAGCCUGAUAGCUUGCCCGCUGGAUGCGUUUAUGCAAGGAGUCUUUGUUUGGAGGCAAGUCUCUCUCAGAACAUUUACCUGAUUUGAACAGGUUAGCCCUUGCAAUAUUGACAUCUUGGCAGUCCUUCUGGUCAUAUAGAUCACACGUGUAAGCUUCCAGAGCCUCACAUAGUUCUGGUGAUGGGGUGAAACUUGUUCCUAGUUCUCUAAACAUGGUGAUGUAUUCUGUUUUUGAACUUAGUUUUUUGUAUGCUUUUUCUUUUCCAACCUUAUGCAGAGCGCUCACUGUGUCACAUCCAGAAAAGGCAUGCAGACCUACAAGGGCAUCACAUUUGUCUUCGCCAAGAUGGGCAUGUAGCUUGGUAAUAUCAGUAAUGUGUGUGUCUCUCCCCUUGGCUGUAUGGAAAUGGAGGUGGCCAUCAAUGUGGCUGCAGAAAGCUAGAGCCAGCACAAAGACAUCGGUGUCUGGGCUCUUGAUUACCAGGUCAUGGCUGUGUUUGGCUGCAUGGGCUGCAUGCAGAAUCAUUCUGGUGUCUGCCUCCUCUUGACUUGUCUCUAGGUCUUUGAGUUCCAGUAUCUCAAGUUAAGCUCCAAUGUUGGAAGAAAUACUCCAGUAGGUUUUCUUUAUUUUGGCCACAUGCCAGAAAUUUUUUCCAUUGCUUUGGGGUUUUUUGGUCAUCUCCAUAGAUUUUGAUUUUUUGGUAGCCCUGUUCUGCGCGCCGACUACGCUCAGCAUUUUUGAUGCUCAGGUCGCUGUAUGUGUCACAUACAAAAUGAAGCUCUGUUGACUUUGUUGCCUUAGCUGAGUGAACUAAUGUGUUCAGCACAUGAUCAGCAUACAACCCAAAUGUUGGCUGUGGCUUUAGUUGUUGCACCAGAGCCAUAGCAUCCCAAAUCCAAACUGAGCCAUCAGGAAUGUCACUCACUGUUGCAGGCGGGUUGAUCUCAUCUAGCAAGAUGUGCAUCAGCUUAGCUUUGUUGGUUUUGACCAGAGAGCCAUCAAAGUUGGAAAUUGACUGUGGAAAAGGACCCAAACUGUAAGUGAGCAUUUCAUUGAUGUUAAUUUGCCUAACGCCGCCCACAACAAUUAGCCUUGCAAACAAGUUGCGAUGUGAUGUUAGGGUGAUUUCUUUUCCUCUAAUUUUUGUGACUGUACUUUGUCCAUUGUCUUUAAAUGUUUUUAUUUUCGUUUUCUUUAUAGGGUCAUGGAAUGAUGCUUGGCCAUGGACUAUCCUUUUUUCACAGAAUUCAGUGAGUGCCUUAACACCUCUUUGUUUAGCCCCUAGUAAGUCUGUGGCAACAUUUUCUGAUGCCUGUUGGCCAGAAGAGAUGUGACAAAGAGAAUCUCCAUCCAGCAAUGGGUCAAAAGGGUUAACCAUAUUUUGGAUAGUGGCCACAAUGUUCAUCACAUCAGCCUGAUCUCUCUGCAUUCUGGUGUUGUCUAGCUCAGAGUUAAGAUGUCCUACCGGGCACUUUCCUGCCAUUGUUUUGCAUUCAAAAGUGAUUGCUGCCCGCUCAUGUUGUGUUAGGGUCCAGCGGUGAACUGCACCCUUGUUCAGAGAGAACCCACUGAUGCCUCCCUUUGUCUUCGAGUCACGAUUGGCUGUUUGCUCAAUGACUUGAUCACAUGCUGUGCCAGCAAAACCAUGACUUUGAUGUCUUUGUGCCACAAAGUCACCUGAAAGAAGCUGCUGGUGUGCUGAAGGGUGUGUGUCUUCCAGGUUGGUCAUUUCAGCCCAAUAUGCCGUCAAAUACCUUGCAUAAUUUACUUUGUCACAGGCAAAAAACCAGGGCAGCAUACUUUGCACAGUGGACAAAUGGAGAGCCCAGUUCCCCUCUCUUGUUGCCCUGAUGAAAAGAAGCAAAUCUUCCAUCAUGUCAAGGUAUGUGCUCCAAAAUGCAAAUGUGUGGUUACAGUUGUUUUUCACCACAAAUUCUUCAUAACCUUGCAGUAACUGCUGAAAUGUGUCUGAUGUUAGCAUGCCCUUGAACUCUUCAGAGGGAAAACACUCCUGCAGAUCUGUUGCCACUUUUAAAGCCAGCUGCAUUUUGUUCUUGUGAGUCUGUCCAAGUAUGCCCACCAUCGCAGUUUCUGGAGUGCUUCCAUCAGGAGUUUGUGAGCCCGUAUGCUCCUGUUGUAGUGAUGGCCGGAGAUCACUCCAUCAAUUGAGCCUGCGGCCACCAGGUCAGACUCAAUCAAGAUGUCCUGAAAGCCUGCAUCACCAUACAACUUUCCUAUGCAUGACAGAUACGCCAUUGCUGUGUGAAACUCUCCCAUCCUCACUAAGAUUCUCUCAGACUGUCAGCAAUGGCAAUGGAGCGGCUCAGGAUGGUGUGGACAGUGUUGAGAUCAGUCGGACUGGCGUCAAUCACUGGUAGGUAGCCAAUAUAUGUAGAUGGUGGUAGUACUGUGUCUUCCUUCAACAUUAUAUUAUACCCUGUCCAUCCAGGAAGGACUUUGCCCUGGGCCUCAGGUACUUUCAGUAAAAAGAAUGCAGCAUCAAUUCUUCUACCAGUAGUUUGGGAAUAUCUGUAUUGGUCCUGAUGGAGAUCAAUCUUCAAUGCAAAAUUCUGUGGACCAGACCGCUUUCCUCUUGUGUAUGUUGAAAGAUUCAGUGGAGGAGGAUGAACCGACCGCUCUCGUGUUCUCUGUCUGGGUAAUGUGUCUGGUAAGGAUGCUGUAUAACUAUUUAUGGCCCUCUGAAUUAUUAUACCAUUGGUGUUAUGUGUUGUCCCUUUACCUGAAAGAGUCUCCUCUCCAAAGUCAUUAUUGUCCCAGACAAGAGUCACCGGCACUUCAUCACUGAUUUUUUCAGGGAUGUAUAUUUCUCCCCUCUCCAUUUGUAGAUGAGCAAGGGCAGUAUCAUGCUCAAGGACCUGGGAAUUAGAUGAGCAGUGACCCAGACCAUUUAACAGCCCUAUAAGCUGUGCAGAGCCAGUCAUAUGCCGAACUGCCAUUGCAAGUGAGCACUGUUUAGGCAUGAGCCACCUUCCUCUGGUUGCCAGGGUAAUAAUGUCCUGACAAGUGGACACUAUCUUUCUGUUGUCCUCGUAAGUGACAUCAACACGUUCAUCUGAUGGUUGUGAUGACAUUCCUGAUAUCCAUGCAAUGAAGUUAAAAAGUUGGUGAGGCACUACACUCAUGCCAUUUUCCAGUGUGAGAUCACUUGCUGUUGGAGGCCAUGGUAGCUUUGGGUAUAUUUUUGAUGUAUUUUGAAUGAUUUCUUUAAGUGUCAUUGCUGCGUGAUAUAACUCCCGAGAAUCAUCCGUGGUGUUGGUGCCAUUUUCUAUAUUUCCUUGACUUGUCAUUUCUCCUUCACUUUCUUCAGAUGAGGAGGAAGCAGAGGAGACGGCAACUUCAUGCACAAUUUCGUCAGCUGACAGAUUGUCCACAUAUACAAGGUAGGUUUUGGAUGCCUUCAGGAAUUUCAAGAAGGGAUGAGACUUGUGAAGUCUUGACUUAAGUGAGUGUGCCUUAUAAGCUGCAAUGUUCACUCCCUCUGUUUCUUCCACAGAUUUUUUGAAAAGCAAAUUCAGCUUUGACAGUCGAAGUACUUCGCGUUGUUUUAACAGCCUCUCCUCAAUGACUGUUUUGCAGAAGUGCUUGUAUCCAUUUUCAUAUGUUUGUUUCUGUUAUCUCAAUUUUGUGUGUGGUCAGAUACCGGGUAUAAUCUCGAUAGCAAGUGAAGUGAUACCGUGCUUCACUAGCCACCAAGUCCCUGUCUUGGAUAUGGAGAAGGAGAGACUCGUCCCUUUUCCCUUCAGCGACGAGUAGCAAUUUCCCGGCAUGGAGUGUUUCACACUGUGUUAGCUUUUCUUUUACCCUUUUCCUACUGUGUGACUGAACCUUGUACUUCUCAUGUUUGCAUAUAAUGCAUUGUACUGGAAGCAGGUGUGGGGCCCGCUUGAACGUGCAGGAAUCACGGGCGUAAGAUCUCAGAGCCCGUGUUUUAACUGGAGUUGCAUCACCAUCCUCUGCCUCUACCACUAAAAGUGCAAAACAAUAGAUUUAGGUUCUGCACCCUUCCCCACAUUACUGAUUAAAGAAAAAUGGUUUGUAACUUUCAGCAGGGUAUAUUGGUUCCACCUGUUCCCUUAACAUGGGUAAUAAACCUGUUUCACAGCUUUCAGGUGUCCGUCCUUGUUGAUGUUAAUGAGGCCAUAAUAGGAAGGGUUCAUUUUUGCAGGGUGUUUUUAUUAUAUUAGUUAAUUCAUUGUUGAUUUAAAAAAAAAAUAGCAUCAUUACUUCAGUCUUCAGUGUCACAUGUGACAUCCAGUCUAUCACAUGAUC